rnacentral:rRNA from 1 species
UACGUAGGGGGCAAGCGUUGUCCGGAAUCAUUGGGCGUAAAGAGCGUGUAGGCGGCUCGGUAAGUCCGCUGUGAAAGUCCAGGGCUCAACCCUGGAAUGCCGGUGGAAACUGUCGGGCUAGAGUCCGGAAGAGGCGAGUGGAAUUCCUGGUGUAGCGGUGAAAUGCGCAGAUAUCAGGAGGAACACCAAUGGCGAAGGCAGCUCGCUGGGACGGUACUGACACUCAAGUGCGAAAGCGUGGGGAGCAAACAGG